rnacentral:sRNA from 1 species
CCUCGGUUUGCCUUGAGCCAAAACAAAUCCGCAAUGGAUCCAAUAAGUCCAAUAAUUUCAAGUCUUGAGAGGAUAGUUAAUAGACAUCCCCCGCAAGAAGGGAGUUCCUCGUCAAGCGGUCGCUCUGUCGAAGAGUCAAGGUACAAAGUCAUUCAGUAAGCGGCCUUCUCUGAAAUGUCGACGAGCUAGAUAAUGGUCAUGCUUUUGAUAUUAUCUUGUUGAUGCAUCAUUUAAAUACGCC